CUACUAGGGGUAAAACUGUAAAUUUUUCACUUUUAAAGGUAUUUCAGUAAUUUAUCUAUUUUAGGGUUUUUCAUGCAUAUUCCUACCUUUCACGUACUACAGAAUCACGUACCGAGGGUUCUUACCGAAUUGGGCCCGUUGGCCCAUCAUUCCAAUUUUGGCCCAUUAAAUCCAAAAAUAUCGAGGGCACAGAAAUCAUGCACUUUGCAGUCCAAACAUUACAGCUUACCAAAAACAUUAAUCGAUUUACCUCACGAGCAUUCGCACACUCGCAAAUCUACAAAAUACCUGUUUUCGACAUUUCAGAUUUUCGAAUUUUUCCGAUCUAGACUAAGAAAGAGGGUGUUAGUUACACACCUGUUUGCGACGAUAUGCUGACGAGAUCCACACACGAACCGCCUACAAUUGGAUUACUAACACGUUAAUCUAACUAUUCAAAUACAAACUACAUAUUAACCCCUUACAAUAUUCGGCCAACCACACCUACAAAUCAUAGUAAGCUUAUAAGAAAUCAAUAAGCAACUCAUUAACAAAUUUUUGUCAAUGUUUACCACAUAAUCAUAAUUUCACUGCAAGCUGUCUUCCUGAGCAACAGUCACUAAAUCAUUUAUAACUGGAGCUAAGAAACUCCAAAUCAAGUGCCGUUAAUUUUCCCUGAAAAUAGACUCAUAUAUAUUAUAUCCAUAAAAUUUUCAGAAUUUUUGGUUUGGCCAAUCAAUACCAGAUUUUUCUCAAAGUUUCGCAUGUUUCACUGUUUGACUAAUCUGACCACUCUUCAUUACGAAUCAAAUUUCUCAUUGUACAGAAUUCAAAAUAUGUUCUCGUUUAUUCCAUUUGAAACUAGACUCAUUAAGCUUUAAUUACAUAAUUUAUGCAGCUUCUAACUCAUCUCCCACAAUUUAUGGUGAUUUUCCAAAGUCACGUUACUGCUGCUGUCCCAAGCAGAUUUAUUACCAAAUCACUCUUUCACACCUAACUUGCAUGCUUGUUAUUUAAACAUGUAUAUCACCAAUCAAUCAUCACAUAUCUAUGAUUUUACUUAAGAAUAAUCUCCAUUUCAUCAUUUUAAAGCACAACAUGUUAGCCGAUUUUUCCCCUUAGCAUCUAAGGCACAUGCAUGCUCAUUUGUUUGGCUCAACUUCACCUAUCUUCCAUUUUUCAUCAAAAGAACAUGAAACAACAACCAUUUCCUUCAUUUUAAUUCAUGAAUAAAUGCUCACAACACAACUAAAAACCAAAAUAUGCUUCAAGAGUUAAGGUAGAAUCAAGAAGAACUCAUGAACAUCAAGAUAGAAGCAAACUACCAUGAACUUACCUUCAAUUUUCUUCCCCAAGUGAUCGAACAUUCAAGAGCUUUCUCCUCUCUUUUCUCUUCUCUAACUUUAGGCUAUGAUGAACAAAGAUGGACAAAAUUU
rnacentral:lncRNA from 1 species